GAGGGUAUAGAUCAGUGGUAUAUUGCACACUUAGCAUGCAUGAGGUCCUGGGUUCAAUCCCCAGUAUCUCCA
rnacentral:tRNA from 1 species